GAUGAACGCUGGCGGCGUGCUUAACACAUGCAAGUCGAACGAUGAAGCCCAGCUUGCUGGGUGGAUUAGUGGCGAACGGGUGAGUAACACGUGAGUAACCUGCCCUUAACUCUGGGAUAAGCCUGGGAAACUGGGUCUAAUACCGGAUAGGAGCGCCUACCGCAUGGUGGGUGUUGGAAAGAUUUAUCGGUUUGGAUGGACUCGCGGCCUAUCAGCUUGUUGGUGAGGUAAUGGCUCACCAAGGCGACGACGGGUAGCCGGCCUGAGAGGGUGACCGGCCACACUGGGACUGAGACACGGCCCAGACUCCUACGGGAGGCAGCAGUGGGGAAUAUUGCACAAUGGGCGAAAGCCUGAUGCAGCGACGCCGCGUGAGGGAUGACGGCCUUCGGGGUGUAAACCUCUUUCAGUAGGGAAGAAGCGAAAGUGACGGUACCUGCAGAAGAAGCACCGGCUAACUACGUG
rnacentral:rRNA from 1 species